rnacentral:rRNA from 1 species
GUAGGUGGCAAGCGUUGUCCGGAAUUAUUGGGCGUAAAGCGCGCGCAGGGCGGUCCUUUAAGUCUGAUGUGAAAGCCCACGGCUCAACCGUGGAGGGUCAUUGGAAACUGGGGACUUGAGUACAGAAGAGGAAAGCGGAAUUCCAAGUGUAGCGGUGAAAUGCGUAGAGAUUUGGAGGAACACCAGUGGCGAAGGCGGCUUUCUGGUCUGUAACUGACGCUGAGGCGCGAAAGCGUGGGGAGCAAACAGGAUUAGAUACCCUGGUAGUCCACGCCGUAAACGAUGAGUGCUAAGUGUUAGGGGGUUUCCGCCCCUUAGUGCUGCAGCUAACGCAUUAAGCACUCCGCCUGGGGAGUACGGCCGCAAGGCUG